UACAGAGGUCUCAAGCGUUUGUUCGGAUUCAUUGGGGCGUAAAGGGUGCGUAGGGCGGCGCGGUAAGGUCGGGUGUGAAAUCUCGGAGCUUAACUCCGAAACUGCAUUCGAUACUGCCGUGGCUUGAGGACUGGAGAGGAGACUGGAAUUUGACGGUGAGCGGUGAAAUGCGUAGAUAUCGUAAGGAGACCAGUGGCGAAGGCGGGUCUGCUGGACAGUUCGUGACGGCUGGAGGCACGAAGGCCAGGGGAGCAAAACGGG
rnacentral:rRNA from 1 species